rnacentral:rRNA from 1 species
CCCAGACUCCUACGGGAGGCAGCAGUGGGGGAUAUUGCACAAUGGGGGAAACCCUGAUGCAGCGACGCCGCGUGAGUGAAGAAGUAUUUCGGUAUGUAAAGCUCUAUCAGCAGGGAAGAAAAUGACAGUACCUGACCAAGAAGCCCCGGCUAACUACGUGCCAGCAGCCGCGGUAAUACGUAGGGGGCAAGCGUUAUCCGGAUUUACUGGGUGUAAAGGGAGCGUAGACGGUUAUGUAAGUCUGGAGUGAAAGCCCGGGGCCCAACCCCGGGACUGCUUUGGAAACUGUUUGACUAGAGUGCUGGAGAGGUAAGUGGAAUUCCUAGUGUAGCGGUGAAAUGCGUAGAUAUUAGGAGGAACACCAGUGGCGAAGGCGGCUUACUGGACAGUAACUGACGUUGAGGCUCGAAAGCGUGGGGAGCAAACAGGAUUAGAUACCCUCGUAU